UUUAAGGUCUGACCUGCCCAAUGAAAAUUAUUUAAUGGCCGCAGUAUUUUGACUGUGCAAAGGUAGCAUAAUCAUUAGUUUUUUAAUUGAAAGCUGGAAUGAAUGGUUUGAUAAAAAAAAAUCUGUCUCAUUUUUAUUGUUUUAAAAUUUUAUUUUUAAGUGAAAAAGCUUAAAUUUUUUAAAAAGACGAGAAGACCCUAUAGAGUUUGAUUUUUAAAUAUUUUUUUUAUAUAAUGAUUAAAUUAUUUUUAAAAUUUUUAAAAAUUUUAUUGGGGUGAUAAAAAAAUUUAUUAAACUUUUUUUUAUUUUAACAUAAAUUUAUGAAUAUUUGAUCCUUAAUUUUGAGAUUAAAAGAAAAAAUUACCUUAGGGAUAACAGCGUAAUUUUUUUAAAGAGUUCAAAUCGAAAAAAAAGAUUGCGACCUCGAUGUUGGAUUAAAAUUUAAUUUUGGUGUAGAAGCUAAAAUUUUAGGUCUGUUCGACCUUUAAAAUUUUACA
rnacentral:rRNA from 1 species